rnacentral:lncRNA from 1 species
AAGCAAGUUGGAAAAUGGAAUUGACUGAUGUUAAGAAGAGUUCCAAGUAGAAGCUUGUCAUCUGUUCCCAGAUAAAUAAGAAUUGUGUCCCAAAAUAAGGAUCUAUUGAUGUAGGAAGCAAAACUCCCAUUGACUUCAGUGCAAGCUCAUUGUAUUUUUCAACUAAAUGAAUUGACUUCAAUGACAGUUUAGCCUAAGGAAGCCUUGCAGAAAUGGUCCUGAAAACAUUUAUAUUCUGAGACACCAAGUCCUUGAACCAUCUGUUUGAAAAUAAAAGAUGGAAGGGGAAAAAACAGCCAGCAGAAAUCCUUGAGAAGGAAUGCUGACCUUGUAUGAACUUGGUAUUUGAACUGUCUGGGCCAGCCACACACACAGACUGAGGAUAUCUGGCCACAGUAGGCGGGAUCGACCAAAUCUUAAUCUCCAGAUCCACCUCUCCCUGAAAUGUAGAGGUUCAGAUCUGGACUUGGAUGUGAACCUUGCAAUUUGAACCUAUCUUUGGAUUGGGGCAGAGGUGAGUUUAAUAAGCAAUAGUCUGGGACUCUGUCAGCUAAAGUGUUAUUGUUUUAAAAUAGUUGACGUUAAG